UCCUAAAGUGCUUUAGCAUGCGAAUCAAUAACAACUACAUCAGGGGAAGACUAGAGGUUACUGUGUGGUACUGUAGACAACAGAUUUUAUGAGGUGUUACGCAGGUCCACCAUAAGGUUGUGAUCUUACGUGAUAAAAAUAGAUUUAUAUCUUUGUCUGAUGUACAGGUUAUGUUUUGACCCUUCCAAACUUUUUCAGAGGAAGUGUGUUGCACUGGUCUGUUUUCCUCAUCAGACUAGACUAUUUUCUUCUUUAUCUUUCCAAUCGAAGUCAUUUGUUUAUGGAGGAAGUGAGGACGAUGAUGAAGGAGGUGAGGUCGGUGAUACUCUAUGCGAUUAUGAGAGUGAUGUUGGAAGGAACUGCGAAGCCCAUUUUGAUGGAGCUUCAAGAGGAAAGGAGAAAAGGUUCCACAUGGUUGUGUCUAGCUUUCAGAUAAGAUAAAAGUGACGAUUGAGGAUUUAAGAGGGAAAACACUGGUCACUAAGCGGAAGCAGAGGUGGAGUUGAAGGAGGCAGUUCUAGCACAGCUUCCAUUGGCGCAAUUCGUGAUGGGGCUUUUCAGGGAGAGGAGCUAAUGGAGCUUUUUGUAAGAAGUGACUCAUUGAGAAAUGCGGGUAACAUAAAGGCGAAAGGGAUAAUUCUGGCUUCCGGUGGCAAAAUCCAUUGUAGGGCUUUUGUUUCUCCAUGUUUCAUUUGCCAUUCAAUCCAUGGUAGGAAGGUACUUCUGGUGGAGAGUGGAGGAGAAGUUCUACACUGAUGAUUGCAUCUAUCUCAUUUUCCCUUUUAAAGGUACUUCUUGAUGCAAGUCUUUUUUAGUUUAUUUCAAUCAGUUUCCUAAUAAUGAGGCUUUUCCAAUGUACUUCUUUAUGUUUUUUAUGCAAUUGUUUUGUUCAUAAUUGAUAGCAAGCAAUUUCUUUGAAGCAGUGUAUUUUCUCUUUUCCUGCAUGAAAUUUUUCCAAGCACAGUCUAGAGAGAAACACUUACACCAGCAUGAAUUUCUUCAAUAAUCAGCAUUGUAUUCUUCCCCGAGGUAUACUAUCUUGGACUGCCUAUCAUAAGUUCGACUUAUCAGUAUCAAUUGCUGGAAAUUGUCAUGAAUCAAGUGAAAAUACUCUUUUUAUAGAUGCAAAGUUGUGAUUCUCUGGUUUCUCUAGCUGAUAUUAGGGAGUCUGUUUGGUUCAAAAUCAUUGAAAGAUGAUAUUGAGGCAUUAGGUGGUUGUAGUUCAGUUAGGGAGAAAACACUGGAUGAUUCUUUGGUGCUGCGAAUCAGUGAAAGGAAGAUCCUUCAAUCGGAAAUUAUGCUUCAGUCAUAAAUCUAAGAUCACUAUUCAUAGGCCUGCAAGGAUGUUUUUGAAAAGGACAACAAAGAGAGUUGAUUAUCUUUUAUUCCAUUCUUCUUUAAUUGGCCACAUGUUGUAAUGUUAAUUUUCUUUACAUAUGUAUAUUUUCAUAGUAAUAUUGCAAAGGACAAGAAAAAUAUGUCAAUUUACCAGAUAAUUUGCACAUAUAAUUAAAUAUCCG